AACAAUUUGUUUAGCACGCUUUUCUUUCAAAAAUAUUUUAAAAAUUAAAAGUGUUUUUUUAAGUAGUGCAGAAUAGACCCUUAAUCAAAUAUUUAUUGCAAAGAACUAAAAGCGCAUUUACAGCCAAAAAAAAAAAAACCAGAAAACGUCGAUCCCUUUAUCCAAGGGAUCCUCCACCGACAUAAGUCGUCGAGCCAGGAGCAAAAAGGCAGUGAAGAGACGCUUGAGACCAGAUAAACCGGGGUAGCAAAAACAAAGAAAAUGCCGAGCAGCGGCGAUCGAGGUAGCCAGCAGCGGAGCUUCCUCCACCCAAUACCCAUCCUCCAGAGGGGACAUACCAUCAUCAGCCACCGCAUGCGCAGCCCUAUUAAAUGAAAAUUGACAUGUAUAUCAGUUAUAAAUUAUAUUUAAAUAUCAAUUAUAUUAUACAUCUAUAUCAGUUAUUUCUAUUAAAUGAAAUUUGACAUGUUAAUACAUGCAUGCUUUGCAUAUUUAUGUAUUCAUUUUCGUGUGUUCUGUAAUUAUGGAAAGCUGAAAAAACUCCAUUAGAUGCUACUUCCCUACAAUGCAAAUGCAUGUGCAAUACAUAAAAUAUGAAUUGUAUGUC
rnacentral:lncRNA from 1 species